GGCACGUUUUCUUUCCGGACACAUCCAGUGGAUACUGUGCAGACCUUCUCCAGCUAAUCUCAGGAAGGCUGAAGUUUUUAGACGGCUACCCUUCAUAUUUAGGGAGAGAAUAUAACCAUGUGGAAAGUCUAGUCUUCAUGUGGAACAUCUGUUACGAAGAAAUUCUACUUGGAAAGCUUGUCUGCUCUAUUAACCCAUCCCUGUUGCUCACUUGGAAGAAGAGGGCCUUCACUUUCCACUGUAAGAAGAAGGUCUUCUGUUGCUCUGAACGCUUCUGUUUAGAGACCUUUCUUCACUGUCCCCAAGGGAUGUUUUCUAAGCCAAGUUCACCUACGAUCUCACACACGCGCUGUUGAGGUGUAAUGUUACAGACAUGGUGAUUUACAACGCAGAUAUAUUACCCCAGAUCCUCCAGGUGUUGGAGAAGGGCCCUCCUGACAACUUGAUUCCGUGUCUUCCUCUGUUGAAUUGGAUUUAUCUUACCUUCUUUCACUAAGCCCCCGGGGCUCUUUAUCUCUCAGCUCAUCUGAAUUUUUUCCCCAGGAAGUGGUUUUGCUUCCUCCAUCCACGUACACAGCUCUUGAGGACCGAGUCUCUGACCUGCGACUUGUAAAGAUUCUGGGAAGUUUCUAGAGGGGCAAUUCAUGAAAGAAAGACUCAGUAACUUGAAUCUGCAAAUUUCAAAAUGUGGAAAAAGAAUUUUAUCAGUACCAUAGGAUGAGACUGCUUUUACCUAAGAAGAAAGCUCUCAUGGUAUUUGUCAAAUUCCAGAACAGCGAGGGCACAGCCAUUUAUAACAGUUCCUUAUGAAUCCUUUACAUGGUAGUGUGCACACUUGGACCAGCAAAUAUUUAAGAUGAAAUGCUACCCAGUGGAUUACAUCUGAGAAAGAAAGCAAUGAGUACUUGAGGACUCCUGCUACUAGUGUGCCAUGGACCCUCUAUUGCAAUGACAAAAGUGAAAACAUAAAAUGUCAACCUCUGGACCAAUGUGUGGUUAGUGCCACCGCAGCACUGUUGCCCCAGGAUGCCCUGAAUAAACCAUUGUUGUGGUUUCCCUGACAGACAGCUUGUCGGCAAAUGAUCAGUAUUGGCCAUGAUUUCGGGCUAAUUUCAUGGAUGUUUUCCAGUUUCCGUGAUCUUCCGUUCCCGUUUUCCAAACAAAAGUGCUUCUGAAAAUUUCUGUUUAACAUCUUUCACUUUGAAUAAAGAGAACAAGAAACAUUCCCCUCGCA
rnacentral:lncRNA from 1 species